UACGUGGGGUGCAAGCGUUGUUCGGAAUUACUGGGCGUAAAGCGUGCGCAGGCGGUCUGUUAAGACCGAUGUGAAAUCCCCGGGCUUAACCUGGGAACUGCAUUGGUGACUGGCAGGCUUUGAGUGUGGCAGAGGGAGGUAGAAUUCCACGUGUAGCAGUGAAAUGCGUAGAGAUGUGGAGGAAUACCGAUGGCGAAGGCAGCCUCCUGGGCCAACACUGACGCUCAUGCACGAAAGCGUGGGGAGCAAACAGG
rnacentral:rRNA from 1 species